rnacentral:rRNA from 1 species
UUACGGCCAUAUCACAUUGAAACAUCAGUUCUCGUACGAACACCGAAGUUAAGCAACGUUGAGCCUGGUCAUUACUUAGAUGGGUGACCGCUUGGGAAUAGCAGGUGCU